UACGUAGGGACCGAGCGUUGUCCGGAAUCAUUGGGCGUAAAGAGCGUGUAGGCGGCCAACUAAGUCCUGCGUGAAAUCUCGGGGCUCAACCCCGAGCGGUCGUGGGAAACUGGUUGGCUAGAGUGCGGGAGAGGAGAGUGGAAUUCCUGGUGUAGCGGUGAAAUGCGCAGAUAUCAGGAAGAACACCCGUGGCGAAGGCGGCUCUCUGGGACGGUACUGACACUGAGGAGCGAAAGCCAGGGGAGCAAACGGG
rnacentral:rRNA from 1 species